GCAGUGAUGCAGAGCAAAUCCCCAAAAGCAGUCUUAGUUCGGAUUGUAGGCUGCAACUCGCCUACAUGAAGUCGGAAUUGCUAGUAAUCGCGGAUCAGCAUGCCGCGGUGAAUACGUUCCCGGGCCUUGUACACACCGCCCGUCACACCAUGGGAGUCGGUAACACCCGAAGCCUGUAGUCUAACCGCAAGGAGGACGCAGUCGAAGGUGGGAUUGAUGACUGGGGUGAAGUCGUAACAAGGUAUC
rnacentral:rRNA from 1 species